GAAAAAAAAAAAGCUUUGGUUGUUGGAGUUUAGCUGACGAUGCUUUUGUGCAAGAAAGGAAAGGCUCCAGUGAGUUCUCUGUAACUGAAGCCAUAUGGGACUGAGACUUGUUGAACCAAUAAUGAAACGCGCCUGUGUCACAGAGCAGUUUUUGGUUCCAAGACAUACAAUGGACUGUUUGCAAAAUCACGUUGCUGGUUAAAGCUACAAUUUUAAAAUCGACGAAUGGUUUAGGGGCUCGGCUGCCUAGGAGGAUAUGGGCUAGCUGAUCGCUUGGGAAAGUUUUUAUAAGGCCCAAAUCAGCCUGAGGUUCUCUGUUGACUUGUUUUCGUAAUAUAUUUAACAACUGCACAGUGGUAAAUGUUUGCCAGCCAUUUAGCGAAGUUGCUUAAGACGCAUCAAGAGAUAAGAAGAGUAAAAAUGAUUUUAACUUCCUGAUUCUCCAUCCACCCUUCCCAACACACACACACGGCGGUGGCACUGAGAAGCAAGUGAAAUGUUAACGCAGAUUAAGUUGUCCUUUGAGGAGCUACUGCAAUUAAUCACCCAGUAACCCCUGAACAAAGAAGUAUUUCCACGACACAUCAGCGUUUCCAGAUUUGGAAAGGGCUUGAUAAGUGCUUAACUGAACUCUCACAGUGAGGGAAAAAGCAUGUCACUUCUGGAGGAGGGCCUGGAAUAGAUAAAGGGGAAAAUAACUUCCCUGUCCUGCCUGCUGGGUGUUUGGCAGCGAAGAAGGAGGUUGGAGGAAAUCAGAAGUGUUUCAGCCCCAUGAAGCUUUCUGGUACCUGGAAGCCUCCUCACUUCCACCUAGCGUCUUUCACCACUGCCCAUAGCCACCUGAAGUUCACGUAUGUUACAAUAUCAGGCGUGAGCUGUGCUCCAGCACGCGCUGACGGGAAUAGUCCGAGAAGACUGGCUACAGAAGGCAUUACCUGCCACGUAAGGUGUCAGCAGAAGCACUGGCAACAUCCAAAGAAAUAAGCGCAGACUCGUAUGCCAGAGGAUGGCUCCAGAAAUGGCUUGGUGUUUUAUUAACACAUCAGAAGGCUAUUGCCGUGGAUUUGUUGGUUCUCUGGUUAUACAAAAACUGCUAGAAGAGCCUCUCUGAGGCACCAUCAGAAAACCAGCUCCGUGUGAAAGCAUCUUCGUGGAGAAAGUCUGUCAGCUGCUCAGUAUGGCUUGUUUUCAAAUCUUCUUGAGAACGAACGUUGUUGCUUUUAAUCUACAAGUGGAUGCGGGGUUUAAUAGAGGCUUAAUGCCUGAAUGGCUUGCAGUCUUGUUCAGUCAGCUGUUGAGACGUAAGUAGGAGUAACAGGGAAUUGCAGAGGAGGUGUCCACGUGCAAACCUUGUAAAUCACUGUUUUGGGGGUGUGUGUGUGUGUGUAAAUUCUUAGAAAGGGGGAAUGAAAAGCAAACAAACAUGAAAACGAGAGUGGAAAAAGUAGUUUUAACACUUCGAUGUCAGCUCCUCCAUCCAGGGAUUUCAUCUGUGCUGCUGCUACUGGCCCAUUUUGGUGCAUAGUAAGAACAAUUCUUCUAGCUGCCAAUCAACCAUUUUCUUUUCGAUAAUUAUUCACAUUGCUGUAGAAACGGAAAUUAUCCCUAUUUUCUCACUUUCCAGUGGAAAACUGUAGUUGCAGCUGCUCCCUCCCCCCGCUUGGAACUUUUACACGCUAAGAGUCACCAGCCAGCCUUGCCUUAAAUCAAAUCUUCCCAUGCAGCCUGGAUGCAAAUCUAGCAAGCACAGCAGCUGUCUGCUCUUAGCAAGGGGAAAAGCAACACAUUUCUUCAGCCACUGGCUAGGGAACUCCUGCUCAAAAAAGAGGGCUACGCCUUGUCUGAUGCCUUUAUAAAGUUAUAGGAGACAGUUUCCUGCGGGCUUUCACAGAUACUGCUAAUCAUCUUAAAGUGAAACAGGGCUUCCAAAAACAGCAUGUAAAUCCCCAUAACACACCUUCAAUUUCUGUCUCCAAGGCUACCCAGCUGCCCUGAUCCUCUGUGACAGGCUCGAAAUGCCAUGAUGCUUCCUUUUGAACUGCUCCUUGCCCACUUUUCAAGCCCUCUUUACUCCCAGACCUCCCCACGGGCAGAAGCCCCGCUAGCUCUUGGCUUGCCUCGCUUGCUGGGGACAAGGAUUCACAGCACUGCUGCCCCGUGCUGGGUGAUGAGCAAUGGGACAUCUGUGUAACAGGGGAUACUAGGCUCUCUACUGUCCUGCAGCUGAGUGGAACUGAUUUCCACAGGGGCAUGAGAAGAGCUGGAGCCCCUGAAUGGUCCUGCCCUGCCCAGUUGUGCUCACCCAUCUGCACAAAGGCUGGGUCCAAAAGGCUCUUUAAAACCAUGUUAAUAGCAUUUUUCAUGCUGCUUUUACUGAACCUCCUCAUUCUGCUCUAAGCCAUGCAGUUCACGAAUGGCAGCUAUUCCCCAGUCAGGGAAGCGCAUUUUGGGGGACACGGUGUACGUAGCCUUACUGGACAUUUUUCAGUGAUUUUAUAUGCAGAUACUGCCUUCUCACAGUGAACCAAAUUCUGCCCUCUCCUGAAGUCUCUUGGGUCUAAAUUAGUGAGACUUUAUACAUACCGUGACUUGAAUCUGAAUGUGCUUCCUUGCUUGCAAUCCCCGUGGUCACGGAGUAGGCAAGGAGACUUUGUGCUGUAGUUUACCUUGUCAUAAGCGGGCUUUUUCGGUCAUCCUGGUGAACCAUGUGAUCAGCAGGCACAUUCCCUGUGUCGUCAAUGUGGGAGCACUUUCUGCAGGAUGCAGGAUUUGCAAAGGCACAAAUGGAUGGGGCAGCGUCCCAGCAACAUGCAGAAUUCCCCAGCCAGUGGCUCAUCUCGCAUCUUCUCUGAGAAGAUAGCACCUGAGGUCCCCCCUGAAACAUUCCCCAGGACUCACGGGAGUGCUGGAUGAGCUGAUGAGGCAUUUGUGCUGCAGACACCCCCAGAGCACUGAAGAGUCAAGAGAAUGAUGCCAGACUAGAAUCAAUGAGGCCUUAUGCGGGCACUCAAGAAUAACAAGCCAACCAGUGGAUUUGCAGGCAGCCUGUAACAGCUUGUUAUCUGAUGUCCCCUGGGCACAAACACUGAGACAUCUGCAGUUUUUGACCCGUUUUUUCCCUCUGCUGGCUCAAUAGCUAGUUAGCCAGUCAUCCAAAGUGGAAAGAAAACAGAGGGAAGAAGAGAACGCAUGCCAGUAAGCAGGAGAAGCUGGAAUAUUGGGAUGCCAAAAGGACUGGAAAUAAAAUAAGAACACAGAUUUCUUUGCUCUCCAUUAUUGUUUGUGCAUCAAGCUCUCUGAGUUUGUUUCUGGAACUCUGUUGAAAGCUUGCCAGUUGUCACUGAACUUUUAUGUUGGUUUAUUUUGCAUGUAUUUUGCAUCUCCAAUUUCUUUGUUUGGCACUGCAAGAUAAAAAUGAACCUGAACAACACACAAUGGGACUUCAUUGAUUGCCUCUGGUCCCUAUAAUCUCUUCCCAUCCCAUGAGAGGCCAGGAGGAGCCCCAGAGGAGGCUGCUGGGUCCUUUGAAAAGAGAUCCUUGGAGCACAGCAACCAUGCCAGCUAACACUGUGCUUCCCUGCUUCCAGGCUCUUGUUACUAAAGGGUGUGCCCAGGCGCUCUGAAGGGGUCAUGAACACCAGCCCCAGCCUAAUCUUCUAAUUAACUCCUGUUAAUGUAAGCGCACUCGAGAAGAUUCUUUUAGCCAUGCUGCUCAAGAAAUUAGAAGUCCUCUCUCAAAGAGAUAGAGUGUUUCUUCGUUUGUAGUUCAGCACGACAACACCAUUUUGCUGCAUGGGAAGUAUUUGCCUCAGCCUGUGGUGCUCAUUUCUCAUCCUUGGAUUACAGUUUAUUGUAAAUCAACUCAGGAUAAUAGGUGGCGGCUCAGUGUAUGUUAUCUGCAGCAUUUUAGCCUUGCAUAGGCAGAGGCCUCCUGGCUUAUUGGUUCUCUAAUUUCCACGCCUUGGAAAAGCCUAAAGAUUGGGGUGUGUGCCUUGCAAUGAUACGUAGGGCUCUGGGACCUACCAGAGAAACAUGCUGCUGCUGCUGCUGCUGCUGCUUCUCUUUUAACCUGAUGCAGCCUCAUCGCAUGGAUGCUCCGCUCAUUGCAGUCAAGGUUAGAAAGGGAUUUGAGCCUCUUUCUGAUGUGGAAAGAAAGUAGUCCCACAGGUAGAAGCACAAAGAACAGCUGAGCUCAGACCAACCUCAGGAAAAAAAAAAAAACAAAGCAAAUUUCCACAAUGGAGUGUAGCUGGACUGCAUCGAGAGAGCGAAUGUGGAGCAGGAUGAGAAUUGUACCUGCCUGUGUUAUAAGCAGAGACUCUGCAGCUCUCCCGACAUCAAUUUUGCCUAGGAGAAUCCAUCCGAAAACAAACAAAUACCAACAGAAAUGCUCCUAUUGUUUUCUUUCUCUGUUGGUAAUGAAAACUAUUCCUUUAAAAAAAAGAGCAAUAUCCUCCCCUAUGAUUUUUGCAGUCACAACACAGAAACGGAGAAAACCUGAAAGCACAAUUGACUCCUUUUGAUUUUUCCUAUUUCAAGAGAGGAGACAUGCCAGCGGGAAAGAGAACAAAAAUCAUGCUGAGUAAAUCUGGAAUUUAAACCGCCACCGAUGAUCAACAGCGACCAUCCAAAUAUUUAUUUCUUCUUCUACAGUUUCUUUCCGUUUAAGCCGAUGAGCAGAUCUUUAAUUUGAUGUUCAGUCAUCCUUACUUAAAGGCAUGUAUCUUUUAGGUCGUUUCUUUAAUUAUUCACUUCUGCAGGAAUUCAGACGGCAAGAUUUGGGGGAUAAUGUAGUCACGUACCGCCUUAGCAUGCUGCUUCUCUUCAAUAAUUUGUCUAUUAGUGACCUCCAUUUGGUACUAGAGAUCAAGUCCUCCUUGCACUGGCCUUGACAAGAAAAUGUCCAACGGAUUGAGCAAGGUGUUGGCUUUAUCCCUACUGCACGUGCCAUGGCAGAGCUGCCACAACAUCUAAUGCCAGAUCUCUAUUACCUAGACAGUGCUUUGAAAUACGGCUCUGUGUAUGGGAUACAGUCCCAGUUUCAAGCAAGAAGCAAGGGAGGGACUCCAGCUCUGCUGCUGGAAGCAUACAAGCGAGGCAUGAAGCAGGGAGAUGUCCUCCUGACUGCCUAGCAGGCUGGAUAAGUUUCUGUGUGUAGUUUGCUCGUGUAGCAUCGGCGAUGUGUGCAAUCUGCAGCCACUCGCAGGUCUCCGCAACCUGCCUGCUUCCCAGUUAUCGUGGCUGCAGACCACCAUAAGCAUUUCUGCAGGCAAGCUUCUAAGGUCAUGCUGCUAAACCUCCAUAUAUGCGCUGAAAUAUCAUGAUACAUGGGUUUGGUUUUUUUUUCUCUCCUUGCGUGUUUAGUGCUUUAAAAUUCCAUCCAGUUCAACAAGAGCUCAGCAUGUAAUAUAAAGCAGCUGUUUAUGGGUGCUUAAGUACAGAGUUAAGAACCAAACUUCAGGCAGCCAGAUUUGAAAAGCGUAGUCAGUCCUUAAAUGAUGUGCUCUGCUGAAAGGGGUCUACUCUAAAAAUGCUCAUGAAGUGUGAGGGUUUAUGAUGGAAAGGAACCUGUAGCAAGCAGCGUGUUUGCUUCCCACUUUUCCUAGGUUUCAUUAUGCCUUCCUGCCUCACAGAACAGCUGUAACAUUAAACCCAUUGAAAUCUGUAAAGUGCUCAGAGAUCUACUGAAGGGAGGCAGGACAGAAGUAAAAGGUACUCAAUUUUCAUCGCGUUUUAUCAGGCAAGAGAGUUUCCCGAAUGUCUUCGUAACAAAUAAGAAUAAAUAGCUGCACAUGUAAAAUGUAUCCUGCGCUCACUAAUAGGUAUCUUCCGGGCAGUGGUUGAGGAGAAUCUCUAUUUAAGAACAGCGUAGAUCUGAAGACUUGAAUUCAUUUUUCAAUACCUUUCUUAGGGCCAUAGCCUUAUGCACUUCACUAGUGCAUGAAUACUAUCCAAAUCUACUGGCAUUCGAGUAAUAGUGGCAAAUAGUUUGAUUGUUUUCUCCUGUCAAAUUUCUACUAGAUUUUCAAAUAAAUCACUCACAAACGUUGUUGUUUUUUUUUUUUUCCUCAUGACUUGGUUACCUCAAUAGCCAGCUGAAUAAUAUUCAUCAAAUAAAUUACUUAUUUUUUUUCCCAUCAAUCUGCAAAUAAUUAAUUCACAGGUACUUUUUACAUGAAGCAGUCAGCUCUAGCCAGGGCAAAUCAAGGUAAUUUCCUGCUCUUUUGAUCAAAUGCCAGCAGGACUUUAUCUUGGACAGCUCAAUAGACACAGGUUUUAAUGCAUAAUACAUAAUGGGUAAGCUGAGUUUUUCACAGUUCUUUGAGAGCUCUCUGCUAUUGCCCAUAUUUCUGUUCAGCUACCGAGAGAGGCCUGACAAGGG
ensembl:lncRNA